rnacentral:rRNA from 1 species
ACCCAGACUCCUACGGGAGGCAGCAGUGAGGAAUAUUGGUCAAUGGUCGGGAGACUGAACCAGCCAAGCCGCGUGAGGGAGGAAGGUACAGAGUAUCGUAAACCUCUUUUGUCAGGGAACAAAGACUGGGACGCGUCCCCGGAUGAGUGUACCUGAAGAAAAAGCAUCGGCUAACUCCGUGCCAGCAGCCGCGGUAAUACGGAGGAUGCGAGCGUUAUCCGGAUUUAUUGGGUUUAAAGGGUGCGCAGGCGGCCUGUUAAGGCAGGGGUAAAAGCCGGGGCCCCACCCCCGGCGAGCCGUUGAAACUGGCGGGCUGGAGUUGGAGAGAAGUAUGCGGAAUGCGCGGUGUAGCGGUGAAAUGCAUAGAUAUCGCGCAGAACUCCGAUUGCGAAGGCAGCAUGCCGGCUCCACACUGACGCUGAGGCACGAAAGCGUGGGUAUCGAACAGGAUUAGAUACCCUUGUAC